GACGAAGGGGGCUAGCGUUGUUCGGAAUUACUGGGCGUAAAGCGCGUGUAGGCGGUUGCCCAAGUCGGGUGUGAAAGCCUUGAGCUCAACUCAAGAAAUGCACUCGAUACUGGGUGACUUGAGGACCGGAGAGGAUAGUGGAAUUCCCAGUGUAGUGGUGAAAUACGUAGAGAUUGGGAAGAACACCAGUGGCGAAGGCGGCUAUCUGGACGGUUUCUGACGCUAAGACGCGAAAGCGUGGGGAGCAAACAGG
rnacentral:rRNA from 1 species